rnacentral:rRNA from 1 species
UACGGAGGGUGCGAGCGUUAAUCGGAAUUACUGGGCGUAAAGCGCAUGCAGGUGGUUCGUUAAGUCAGAUGUGAAAGCCCGGGGCUCAACCUCGGAAUAGCAUUUGAAACUGGCGGACUAGAGUACUGUAGAGGGGGGUAGAAUUUCAGGUGUAGCGGUGAAAUGCGUAGAGAUCUGAAGGAAUACCAGUGGCGAAGGCGGCCCCCUGGACAGAUACUGACACUCAGAUGCGAAAGCGUGGGGAGCAAAC